CAUAAACCAUGACCAAUUAUCACCGUCCUCCUUAUCAACAAUGGCAAAAGCUAAUGGAAAUAGUUGAUUAUUUCCAUCAAGUGCGGUUGCACACAGUAUACAUCCGGUGUAUUUUCCGUACAAGAAUGUCCCAUCGAUUGAGAUAACAGGUCGGUAAUGUUUAAAUCUCUCAAUCGAUUGCUUAAAAGCCCAAAACAUACGGUCAAAUACACGACACAUCGGAUUUAAUCGCUCAUUUAUCCAAUGUGGAUUAUCUUCAAUCAUGUAUACUAUUUCUGGGUUAAAAUGAUGAAGAGCAGUCAUGAAUCUACGCAAACGACUGUAUGCUUCAUCCCAACCCCCAUAAAGCCUUCC
rnacentral:lncRNA from 1 species